CCAAGAAGGCUGAAUACUCUGAACUGCUGUUUGGUGCAUAAGCACACACAACAGUCAGAGUUUUCCCCCCCAUGACCCGCAGGCGUAGGGAGGCGACCCUCUCGUCCACUGGGGUAAACUCCAACAAAGCGGCACUCAACCGGGGGCUUGUGAGUAUCCCCACACCCGCUCGGCGCCUCACACCUUGGGCAACUCCGGAGAAGAAUAGAGUCCAACCCUUAUCCAGAAGUAAGGUUCCAGAGCCGACGCUGUGCGUAGAGGUGAGCCCCACCAGAUCCAACUGGUAACGCUCCACCUCCCGCACAAGCUCCGGCUCCUUCCCCCCCAGAGAGGAGAAGCACUUAAAAAUCACUAUGCCUAACGACGAUUCAAACACGACCGGUCACAUAUCCUCUGAGCUAUUUGUCCCGAGACAUUGUUGUUCCGUAGACCUUAUGACUCCUUCAUUUGGGUUUCUGGACCUUAAAGAUGAGUGCACCUGAAAAGCUUUGAACCCACAACCCGCAGUCUCAGUCAGUCUUGUAUCCCUCUGAGCCAUUUGACCUGACAGCUCCACCUUUCAUUUGGUAAAUCUAUUCUUGACUCUGGGUUUCAGCUUUUGAAAAGUCCUGCACCUCAUGAGGAUCGAACCCAGGACUUCAGUUUAGCAGAGCAGUGUCACAUCCCUCUGAGAUAUGCAGUAUGAGAUACUCAUGUGUUGUUUGGUAGUUUUUGACACACCCAGAAGAAGCAGGCCACAUCUGCAGGUACCAGGCUGCCAGCUCAGAUAUUUAAAGUUAUUACCUUACUGACAACAGCUGUCUUUAGCUAUGCCCUCACUGUUGAAUCACCAGUAGUAAAGUCCUGAUCCUGGUCCUGUAAAAGUACACAAGUUGAACUAUCAGAAUAUAUUUAAAAAGUAAAAACCCUCCUUAUGCGCAAUGGCCUAUUUCAGAAUCCCAUGUAUAGUGAGUGACUGGGUUACUGUUCUGAUUAUUCCUGUGUUUUCAUCACAACUGGUAAAGGCCAUAUGACCUGAACUGGUACGGUAAGGUUUUUGUAGUGCUUUUGACUUUGAAGGACACUCAUUCAUCAACCCUAAUCCAAACAAAUGAAAUGUUUAUAUAAGAGGGGACCCUUUUCUGUCACAGUAUGGAAAAUAAAGUCAUAGCAUAGUAUGCCAAAAAUAUGCAAAUAAAAGUCAGCGACAUCAGUGCAAGAUAUACCAUUUUUAUGCAGCAUUUGAGAACAAAAAGGUACAAAGGUAUCACAAAUUGGUAAACCAACCAAAGACAAAUUUAAAUGUCAUGUCAUUCUGACAGUAAUGAAUCAGAAGCUGCUAAAUCAGAACAGUGAAGUACUGCAGUCCUAAACAUGUGUAGAGGAGUUAAAUGUGCAAAACCACUUAGUAUGGACAUUGCAGAAACGUUUGUCUGGAGUUUGAUUUGACAACGAUCGGCGGUGUGCAAUAAUCCUACCCGUAUGUACGAACAGACACAAGGCUACGGUGGAUAGAUCAGUCACUGGCCUUGUAACAUGUGCAAACCCAAAAUAAGGCACACGCAUAUGUAUAUAUUAUAUAUACAUAUAGAAAUUUGAUAAGCAUCUUCUUCAAGGCAUCAGACAGAGGACACAGGUACGGCACGGUAAAUAAAUAGCCAUGCAUUUGUAUCUGUGGAUCUCUGUGGCAAAAUGUGCACGUGUACAUUUGGCUGAGGCACAGUGAGCGGAGGGCCUCUCGGGGUCCCGUAUCCCGUCGGGCUACGGCGACGAGGUCUUUGACUCGGCCCUCUGCGAGAGCCCAGGCACUUUGUGAAAUCAGAGGGUUCCCUGCGAGCUCAGAGCGCCGUCUCAAAGAUCACCAAGUGACCGUCUGCCGUCUCCGCGUGUCCGUUUGCCACGUCGGGAUGGCUUUUGCUGUUGUACGCCUGAAGGGAAGAGAGUUUGUAAGGAGCGAUGGAAAACAUUUCUGUAGCUUUGGCUUUGUAAAUUGUUUGCAGAGACCGACCUGUUUGGCCGCUUGCAGAAGAGCUGCUGCCUCCUGCCUGCCGGUCUGCAGCACCAUCUUGCAAAAGAUGCCUUCUGGAUCUUGAAGCAGCGUGUAAGGCGCAUCGUAGGCCUGAAUCUUCCCUGCGUCUAGCACCUGGGGACCAAAGUGAGAUUUCACAUAUUAUUAUAUAACCGUGCAGAGGCUUGUUUGUCGAUAGUGCUGCAACUCUAGGACUUACCAUGAUCCUGUCGCUGUCUAUGAUGGUGUUGAGGCGGUGAGCGAUGGUGAGCACGGUGCACUCUCUGAACUUGUCCCGAAUGGUUUGCUGGAUCAGUUCGUCCGUCCUGCAGAGAGACAGGGUAACGACACAGACAUCUGUAAACAAAAGGAUUUAAGCUGAAAAAGAAGCCGUGCCAGGUCUCGCACGAGCGGUACCUGGGGUCCACGUUGGCCGUGGCCUCGUCGAUGACCAGGAUGCGGUUCUGACGGAGAACUGCCCGGGCCAGACACACCAGCUGCCUCUGUCCCACGCUGAAGUUGGAACCCGACUCGGCCAGCACCGUCUCCAGCUUCCCGGGCAGCUCCUCCACCACCGACUUCAGCUGCACCUGUGGGGGGGAAAGGGGGAGUUAGCCUGAUGCACGCGUCAGAGGGAGCAUCAGACUGAACUGCAGGACACACAGGUUUGUACCGACCUCUUCCAGAGCCCUCCACAGGUCCUCGUCGGAGUGCUGGCUGAAGGGGUCAAGGUUCUUCCUCAUGGAGCCUGUAAACAGCACCGGGUCCUGGAGAACAGAGGGAACAGAACCAAGGUCAGACUCAAGCUGGAUAUUCAUUCUCAAAUGGGCAAACAUCACAUUUAAUCUGUAAAUUAUUGUGGGCUACUCGGCCGAAUGAGGGAAAUUAUUAACAUGCUUAAUAAGCAGGAGUCAUUAAAUGUGUCCAAUUAUAACAAUGGGAUGUGAUGGUAACAGAAGGUCUUUGGAUGUGCACCUGAGGGAUGAUGGACAUCUUUGUGCGCAGGUCGUGGAGGCCGAUCUCAGAGGUCAGAACUCCGUCAAUGUAGAUCUUCCCCUGAGGCUCGGCCAGGCGGAACAGAGCCGACACCAGAGAGCUCUUCCCGGCGCCCGUCCUCCCCACGAUGCCCACCUGACACGCAGAGAACCAGAGUCCGGUUAAACCUGGUGUAUACUGUCUCAGAGCAGACCGAUCAAACGUGUCUCACCUUCUCUUGAGGUCUGAACAUAGCCUUCAUGUUUUUCAGCACCAGUGGUCCGUUGGGGCUGUAGGAGAAGCUGACACGGUCAAAGGUCACCAGGCCUUUGCUGGGCCAAUCAGGAGGAGGACGCUUCUCGGUUUCCCAGGGUGCCUCGCUCUCCAGCUCGGUGUACUCCACCACCCUCUCCACUGACGUCAUCUGAACGCAGAUUGAUGUCAAAGAAGCGCACGGGCGUCCUGAGUAUGCUGUUGAACAUUCGGUUGUGCAGGACCUGUGUGCUCUUCACCAGGAUGUGGAACAUGGUCAUGUUCCUCACAAAGCCGAACAGGAUGGUGGCCGCCGUCAAACCUGGAAAACACACCGGAAAAACCCUCUGUCAGACUACCGCUGCGCACAAAGGGGAGGAGUAAACAACCGUUGCCAGGUUACCUCCGUAAAUGCCCAGUUACCAAUGAGCCAACCACCAGUCCUGCAAAAUGUAUGCCACCUAGAAGAUUGAAAAGAGAGGGCAACAGCUGUACCAGAGGAUUUUACUUCAACCCGUCACUGCCCUCUGUUGGCCUUCCCUGCGUACCUGAGCCAGGACGUUGAUCAGGAAGACGAUGAUCAGAAACACCGCGCCGGCUCCGGCUUUCAUGUACUUGACGUACAGACCCGCUCCGAUGGUUCCCUGAGCGCGACUCUCCUCUGCUACCGUUUGCACAGCCUCUGCCUGCGUGGACAGACACCGUGACCAAGUGCACAGAAAAGCUUAAAAAUACUUGUUUUGUCCAACAGAAACCCGCACGUCACACAAAAGACAUUGUCAAAAGAGUAUUUGGUUAGAUAAGACACACGUUUAUGAACUUAUGAUGACAUCGUGUUUUUAUGUUGGACUGAACGAGGCUCUGGAGCAGUAUAGCGUUCAUACUAUUGAAUUGUAAUAUUAGCAUCACCUAAUCUUUACCCACAGGUGUGUCAAACAACAUGAAAUGAAAAGUAUUAAACUCAAAUAAAUGGAACAGGAAUA